GAGUUGUUCAGUAUUAUUCAGAGGGAGUAACAUUGGCAUGAGCAAAGUGGAACCCACGUCUUCACUGAUCGGCAUGGAUGGCACUCUUUUUAUCAACUCUUGCCACGGCCGGAGUUCGCACUUCAGAGGAACCCCUGGGUUGAUGCUGUGUGAAGUCUGAGUUGAGCUGACCAGAUCUGAAGCCACUGCAGGAGGCUCUAGAUCCAGAUCACCAGCCUGCUUCUCGGAGACUGAAAUGGGAGCACAGGGCAGCCUGCCUCACCCUUUGCUUAGUCCACGUCUCCUGGUAUUUUCUUCCCUGUCCCCUUAAUUUCAAGUUGCUAGCUGUAAUC
ensembl:lincRNA Gm29323 predicted gene 29323